UACAGAGGGUGCAAGCGUUGUCCGGAAUUAUUGGGCGUAAAGAGCUCGUAGGCGGCUUGUCGCGUCGGCUGUGAAAACCUAGGGCUCAACCUGGGCCUGCAGCCGAUACGGGCAAGCUAGAAUUCGGUAGGGGAGACUGGAAUUCUGGUGUAGCGGUGAAAUGCGCAGAUAUCAGGAGGAACACCAGUGGCGAAGGCGGUCUCUGGGCCGAACUAUCGCUGAGGAGCGAAAGCUGGGGGAGCGAAACAGG
rnacentral:rRNA from 1 species